rnacentral:rRNA from 1 species
CCUACGGGAGGCAGCAGUGGGGAAUCUUGGGCAAUGGGCGCAAGCCUGACCCAGCAACGCCGCGUGAAGGAAGGAGGCUUUCGGGUUGUUAACUUCUUUUGUCAGGGACGAAGCAAGUGACGGUACCUGACGAAUAAGCCACGGCUAACUACGUGCCAGCAGCCGCGGUAAUAAGUCGGGGGCCAGCGUUCUCCGGCUUUAUUGGGUGUAAAGGGCGUGUAGGCGGGAAUGCAAGUCAGAUGUGAAAACGAUGGGCUCAACCCAUAGCCUGCAUUUGAUACUGUAUUUAUUGAGUGCUGGAGAGGCAAUCGGAAUUCCGGGUGUAGCGGUGAAAUGCGUAGAUAUACGGAGGAACACCAGUGGCGAAGGCGGAUUGCUGGACAGUAACUGACGCUGAGGCGCGAAAGCGUGGGGAGCAAACAGGAUUAGAUACCCUAGGAGUC